UACGUAGGGGGCAAGCGUUGUCCGGAAUUAUUGGGCGUAAAGAGCGCGUAGGCGGUCCGGUAAGUCGGCUGUGAAAGUCAAGGGCUCAACCCUUGAAAGCCGGCCGAUACUGUCGGACUAGAGUCCGGAAGAGGCGAGUGGAAUUCCCGGUGUAGCGGUGAAAUGCGCAGAUAUCGGGAGGAACACCAAUGGCGAAGGCGAGCU
rnacentral:rRNA from 1 species